AACGAACGCUGGCGGCAUGCCUAACACAUGCAAGUCGAACGAGACCUUCGGGUAUAGUGGCGCACGGGUGCGUAACGCGUGGGAACCUGCCCUUAGGUUCGGAAUAACUCCCCGAAAGGGGGGCUAAUACCGGAUAAUGUCUUCGGACCAAAGAUUUAUCGCCUUUGGAUGGGCCCGCGUUGGAUUAGCUAGUUGGUAGGGUAAAAGCCUACCAAGGCGACGAUCCAUAGCUGGUCUGAGAGGAUGAUCCGCCACACUUGGACUGAGACACGGCCCAGACUCUUACGGGAGGGAGGAGUGGGGGAUAUUGGACUACGGGCGAGGGCCUGAUCCAGCUAUGCCGCGAGAGUGAUGAUGGCCUUAGAGUUGUAAAGCUCGUUUACCCGGGAUGAUAAUGACGGUACCGGGAGAAUAAGCUCCGGCUAACUCCGUG
rnacentral:rRNA from 1 species